GUCCACACCGUAAACGAUGGAUACUAGGUGUCCGGGUCUUCGGACCUGGGUGCCCAAGGGAAACCGAUAAGUAUCCCACCUGGGGAGUACGUUCGCAAGGAUGAAACUCAAAGGAAUUGACGGGGGCCCGCACAAGCGGUGGAGCAUGUGGUUUAAUUCGAUGAUACGCGAGGAACCUUACCUGGGCUAGAAUGCCCCUGACCGCCCGUGAAAGCGGGUUUUCCUUCGGGACAGGGUGCAAGGUGCUGCAUGGUUGUCGU
rnacentral:rRNA from 1 species